UAGUUUUGGCUAUAUAAAGCCAUUUUUCAGCGUUUUGUAAGGGAGACGAAGAUUGAAUGUAAAAACGUACAGGCACACUGAAAUACAAAGAAAUUGAAAAAAGAAAUAAGAAACCAGUUCGAAGAAGGUGAUUUGGAGUUUUUUCUUUCUCUCGCUUUUUUCAUUAGAGAUUCUUUGAUUUUUUUUUCCUUUUAUUUACUGUUGAAAAAGGAAACAGAGGAAGAGUGAGGAGUUUACCUUCGUUGCGGAGCCAAAUCCUUGUCUUCUCCGUCGUAAUCGGAGGUCGGGCGAGGGAUCAGAGAGUAUUUGAGGGAUCGGUCUGCGAAGCGGCGCUGAGGGUUAUAGUUUUAGGUUUUUUU
rnacentral:lncRNA from 1 species